rnacentral:rRNA from 1 species
GAUGAACGCUGGCGGCGUGCCUAAUACAUGCAAGUCGAGCGAACGGACGAGAAGCUUGCUUCUCUGAUGUUAGCGGCGGACGGGUGAGUAACACGUGGAUAACCUACCUAUAAGACUGGGAUAACUUCGGGAAACCGGAGCUAAUACCGGAUAAUAUUUUGAACCGCAUGGUUCAAAAGUGAAAGACGGUCUUGCUGUCACUUAUAGAUGGAUCCGCGCUGCAUUAGCUAGUUGGUAAGGUAACGGCUUACCAAGGCAACGAUGCAUAGCCGACCUGAGAGGGUGAUCGGCCACACUGGAACUGAGCAACGGUCCAGACUCCUACGGGAGGCAGCAGUAGGGAAUCUUCCGCAAUGGGCGAAAGCCUGACGGAGCAACGCCGCGUGAGUGAUGAAGGUCUUCGGAUCGUAAAACUCUGUUAUUAGGGAAGAACAUAUGUGUAAGUAACUGUGCACAUCUUGACGGUACCUAAUCAGAAAGCCACGGCUAACUACGUG